rnacentral:lncRNA from 1 species
AUCAGCUGUGUAUGUGCAAGAAAAGGCUGGAGGUGGUACAGGUCUAAUUCACCUCAUGGGGGUCCUCUAGAAUGCAAAUCCACCAGCACUAGAGAUUUAAAGUGAAAUGCCUGGUUAUACACAGCAUCUGAAAAAUGGGCAAUAUGCUCUUUAAGAUUUGUAUUCUUGUCUGAUCCACUGUUAUUAGAUCAUGAAUCCCUUGCAGAAGUGCUUGCUUAAUGGAUAAACAGGAUGAAAUCUUCAGCUGUUCAGAAGUAGGACUGAAAUAGCAACACAGCUCCACUGUCAGCUCCUCAUUAUCUGGGACGAAGACUGGAAGAUAAGAAAAGAAUUUGGAAAAAUUCAGGUAAUUUGCUUAUGUAAUUUGUCACAGCAUUCAGCUCGUACUGUUAUUAAAUUGUGGCUGCAUACCACUGAAAGUUGUAUGUUGCUUUGUUGUGCAGUUUAGUGUCUCGGAUUGCUGAAAAUACAGCCCCCUUGUCCUUACCCCACAGAGGGACCAGUACAUUGAUGACUUUGCUGCUGUAGAGCAGUUGUCUGCAAAGUUGA